rnacentral:rRNA from 1 species
UACGUAGGGCGCAAGCGUUGUCCGGAAUUAUUGGGCGUAAAGAGCUCGUAGGCGGCUUGUCACGUCGGGUGUGAAAGCCCGGGGCUUAACCCCGGGUCUGCAUUCGAUACGGGCUAGCUAGAGUGUGGUAGGGGAGAUCGGAAUUCCUGGUGUAGCGGUGAAAUGCGCAGAUAUCAGGAGGAACACCGGUGGCGAAGGCGGUUCUCUGGGCCGAUACUGACGCUGAGGAGCGAAAGCGUGGGGAGCGAACAGG